rnacentral:rRNA from 1 species
UGGUGCCUACGGGAGGCAGCAGUGGGGAAUAUUGCACAAUGGGGGAAACCCUGAUGCAGCGACGCCGCGUGAGCGAAGAAGUAUUUCGGUAUGUAAAGCUCUAUCAGCAGGGAAGAGAAUGACGGUACCUGACUAAGAAGCCCCGGCUAACUACGUGCCAGCAGCCGCGGUAAUACGUAGGGGGCGAGCGUUAUCCGGAUUUACUGGGUGUAAAGGGAGCGUAGACGGUUCUGCAAGUCUGAAGUGAAAGCCUGUGG